rnacentral:lncRNA from 1 species
GUGGUGGUGAUGAUGAUGAUGAAGUGUCAUAGAUCACAUCCCACUCUAGCAUUUGAUCAGAUUCCCUCACUAACAAGUCGCCCCCCGACGCCGACUCGUGCUGCGGUGCUCUUUGUGAUUAGGCGCUCUGCUGCGCGGGAACUGUCUAAUUUACCUUUUUGUUCCUUUUGCUCCCCCCCCCCUCCCUCCGGCUUUCAUUUUAUCCUUUUGUUUCUUCGCCCGCUGAUGAAAAAGAUAGCACGCCAACGAGGACGAGCGGGCUCACGUGAUCCUCGUGACGGUGCCAGUCAUCCGGCUUAUCUCCGGGCUUCCGAGCGGCGUCGGGCUCUCUCAGAUUAAUGAGCUGUGCCUGGCGUUCUUGAUUAGUCCGACUCCCUUUUGUUUGUCUACGUUUUCAUAACCUCUCUGCCAGAUUCCAUCUUUAGUGCUUUCCUUUCUUUUUCUUUUCCUUUCUUUUUUUCUGUUUUUUUUGUUCUGUUAUUGUGGCCGACGCUGUUUCCCCAUCAAUCAUACAGGAGUGGUCCCAUUGUGAGGGCCUUCCAACGCACAGCAGGGGCCCUGUGUUAGCCGCGGAUGCUAAUGAGAGAUAAUGCUCGUGGCGGUGUUCGACGUCCAGCGCGGGAGGACGGGGAGUCCCCGGGGGACCAUUUCCAACGGCUCCUCCAGCGCCGCACCGAGCCCCGAACCCCUCCACUACUUCUCCCACCUGCACCAGCAGCAGCAGCCAAUCAGAGGAGAGAUCGAAGUCAACGAGGCCAGCCUCAAAGCCAACAAUCCUCUGUUGGUGAGGAGCAGCAGUGACCCGAUCCACGAGGCCCGAGCCACGCCUCCACCCGCUGUCCGCGGCAGCAGGUCUCCGGAUACGGAAAUCAACGUUUUGCUGAAAGGCGCUCUGGACCGACUGCACACGGACGACCCCCCCCGCCAAGAUGGGCAAAGUGAACUAUAA